UCUUCUCAUUUUUCUCUUACGGAUUUUUAUUGAAAAUCCUUGAUCUACGAAGAUUUAACGGUCCAAUCUUCAAUCAGAUUUCGGUAACGUGAUCUACAAAGCCUAAUCUACGUUUCUACCGAUUAUUUUGAGGCUUUGUGUUAUUUGGAGCUUGCAAAGAUUCUCCAAACACCGAGUAUUAUUUGGGUAAAUUUUUAGUGAUGUAUUGCAUGGUGGUGUCUAGGGGACCUAGUGUUUAAAUCCGCAUAGCCAAGGUUAUGCGGAUAUAGAUAUUGAUUCGUCCACCUAGCGUAUGGGAUGCUAUGAUUGUAGCAUAUCACGACAGUCAUAAGUCGCGGACUCAUGGAUAGUCCGCAUUUUGGGUAUUUCAUUUAUGGCUCGUGUCCUACGUGGCAUUAGUAUUUGUUGAGCCUGUAUUUCAAUAUGUAAUUAGUGUAAUAUGUUUUAUAAGCCUUAAAUAGAUAGAUUUGUAAAUGGUUUUUGUUGUAAUUAACUGUUAUGUAUUAAAUGUAUUUCUGUUUAUGAUA